rnacentral:tRNA from 1 species
AUUUAAAUAGUAUAAUAAUUACAUUUAACUUCCAAUUAAAAAAUCUAAUUAAAUUAGCUUAAAUA